UUCCUGGUUGAUCCUGCCAGUAGUCAUAUGCUUGUCUCAAAGAUUAACCCAUGCAAGUCUAAGUACGAGCUCUCGUACAGUGAAACUGCGAAUGGCUCAUUAAAUCAGUUAUGGUUCAUUUGAUCGUACAGUUUACUUGGAUAACUGUGGUAAUUCUAGAGCUAAUACAUGCGAGAAGCGCCGACCUCGCGGGAGGCGUGCAUUUAUCAGACCAAAAACCGGCCGCGUCUUCGGGCGCGUUCGCCUUGGUGACUCUGGAUAACUUUGCGGAUCGCACGGUCUAGCACCGGCGACGGAUCAUUCAAGUGUCUGCCCUAUCAACUUUCGUCGGUACGGUAUUUGCCUACCGAGGUUCUUACGGGUGACGGGGAAUCAGGGUUCGAUUCCGGAGAGGGAGCCUGAGAAACGGCUACCACAUCCAAGGAAGGCAGCAGGCGCGCAAAUUACCCAUUCCCGACGCGGGGAGGUAGUGACGAAAAAUAACAAUGCAGGACUCGUUCGAGGCCCUGUAAUUGGAAUGAGUACACUUUAAAAGCUUUAACGAGUAUCCAUUGGAGGGCAAGUCUGGUGCCAGCAGCCGCGGUAAUUCCAGCUCCAAAAGUAUAUAUUUAAGUUGUUGCGGUUAAAAAGCUCGUAGUUGGAUUU
rnacentral:ncRNA from 1 species